UACGAAGGGGGCUAGCGUUGUUCGGAUUUACUGGGCGUAAAGCGCACGUAGGCGGAUCUUUAAGUCAGAGGUGAAAUCCCAAGGCUCAACCUUGGAACUGCCUUUGAUACUGGGGAUCUCGAGUCCGGGAGAGGUGAGUGGAACUGCGAGUGUAGAGGUGAAAUUCGUAGAUAUUCGCAAGAACACCAGUGGCGAAGGCGGCUUACUGGACCGGUUCUGACGCUGAGGCGCGAAAGCGUGGGGAGCAAACAGG
rnacentral:rRNA from 1 species